GAAAUGUACAAAUUUACAAUCAAGUGAGUGUAUUUGCAAACAAUACUAGAUGCAGCUGUGUUACUUAUUUAAAGAUUAUAUGCACAUUGUGUAAUGUGAGUAAAGUACAAAUGCAGAGAUAAAUUUGGGAUUUGAAUAUGUUUUAAAGCACAUUCCAUGUGAGGAUUUUCUGCAAAAACUGGAUCUUGUUUAACAGAGGCAGCUACUACCUGGAAGCUAAAAGUUAUGAUGUUUACUACAGCAAUGACCUAGAGGGGCUAACUAGUGGAAAGGCUGUCAAGUUGGAAGUUGGAAGAAAAGACGGAAUGGCAGCCUGGAGAGUUCAUCUCUACGCAGAUGACACUCAACUCUACGACUCCUUUCCAUCGAAUUCCAAGGAAGCCUCCUGGACUUUAAACCAGUGCAUGACAGCUGUGAUGGACUGGAUGAGGG
rnacentral:lncRNA from 11 species